rnacentral:lncRNA from 1 species
UAAAAAAGAAAAGAAAAGAAAAUAAAUGAGAAAGCCCGCUAAGUCGAACAUCAGAAAAGGAGAAUUAGGCAAAAAUCAGGGCAUCCUGUUGGACGAUAGCUUCAAAGAAGCGGUAAAGGAAAAAUUAGGGAUAAAAAAAGAAAAAAAAAGAUGAAUAGAAAAUCAAGAAAAAAGUCAUAAAAAAACAAGUUUUGGUGACCAUAAUAUCAAGAAUCAAAGGGUCACAAAUAUCCUUGACAUAAACAAAAUUU